UAAAUUUUAGUUUUUUGUUUAACAUGUGCUUUUGGUUUGAUUAUUAUGAUAUUAUAGUUGAGCUUAAUAUCAAUCCAUAUUAUAGCCUCUCGGUACAUAAGAAGAAUUCAUUCUUCUAACCAAAUGAUUGGUCUUUUCUAUAAUAGAUAACUACAAAACUGCAGAAGCUAAGCACGUCACUUUGAUAUAGAUAGUGUUAAACAAUUGUUCCCAGUUUAGCAGUACUUCCCUACAUGAAAUUGUUUCACAAAGAAUAAAAGAGCUUUAUCACUAACAUACAUGAUCUUUCAACAGAACAAGUCAUUGUCAUCCAAUCCAUGUACUGAAGACGAAGUGCAGGUGAUAUAACUGAGAAUUUGAGAUGAAGGAAGAUAUUGAACGUGGCAAAAAUUUGAUAUUUUGAGCAGCUAAUCAAUUUAGAUUUUGGAAUAUCAUGUAUGUUGGGUCAUUAUGUUUUGAUGUUCAAUAAUUUGACUUUUUAUUGGAGAAACAGAUAAUUGUAUUUUGAUCAAUUUUAUGGAUGAAGAUGAUACUGAAUAUUGCAGAAAUUUGAUAUUUUGAGCAGGUUUA